CAGUCGCCGCGGUAAUACGAAGGGUGCAAGCGUUAAUCGGAAUUACUGGGCGUAAAGGGUGCGUAGGCGGUUGUUUAAGUCUGUUGUGAAAUCCCCGGGCUCAACCUGGGAAUGGCAAUGGAAACUGGACGGCUAGAGUGUGUUAGAGGAUGGUGAAAUUCCCGGUGUAGCGGUGAAAUGCGUAGAUAUCGGAAGGAACACCUGUGGCGAAAGCGGCUCACUGGACCACAACUGACGCUGAGGCACGAAAGCUAGGGGAGCAAACAGGAUUAGAUACCCCCGUAGUCCCUGUCUCUUAUAU
rnacentral:rRNA from 1 species